rnacentral:rRNA from 1 species
UAAAGUUGUUGCGGUUAAAAAGCUCGUAGUCGGAGGUGUGUCUCGGACGGUCGGUUCGCCGCUUGUCGGUGCUCAACUGGCCGGUCCGGACGUCCUGCCGGUGGGGCUGUAAAAGGCUCCGUUAUCCUUCUUUGGUCCUCUUCAUUGAGUGCCUUGGUGGGCCGGCACGUUUACUUUGAACAAAUUAGAGUGCUCAAAGCAGGCCGUUGGUCGCCUGAAUACUGUGUGCAUGGAAUAAUGGAAUAGGACCUCGGUUCCAUUUUGUUGGUUUUCAGAACUCGAGGUAAUGAUUAAUAGGGACGGACGGGGGCAUUCGUAUUGCGACGUUAGAGGUGAAAUUCUUGGAUCGUCGCAAGACGAACCGAUGCGAAAGCAUUUGCCAAGAACGUUUUCGUUGAUCAAGAACGAAAGUUAGAGGUUCGAAGGCGAUCAGAUACCGCCCUAGUUCUAACCAUAAACGAUGCCAGCUAGCCAUCCGCCGAAGUUCCUUCUAUGACUCGGCGGGCAGCUUCCGGGAAACCAAAGCUCUUGGGUUCCGGGGGAAGUAUGGUUGCAAAGCUCAAACUUAAAGGAAUUGACGGAA